GACGAACGUUGGCGGCGUGCUUAAUACAUGCAAGUCAACUGAAGCAGUGGUAGCAAUAUCGCUGUGGAGGUGGCGCACGGGUGAGUAACACGUAGGUAAUCUGCCUUCAGGUCUGGCAUAACUCCGGGAAACCGGGGCUAAUAGCAGAUGAUGCAGCGGCUCGACAUCGAGACAGUUGUUAAAGCUAUGGCGCCUGAAGAUGAGCCUGCGUCUGAUUAGCUAGUUGGCGGGGUAACGGCCCACCAAGGCAACGAUCAGUAGCUGGUCUGAGAGGAUGAUCAGCCACACUGGAACUGAGACACGGUCCAGACUCCUACGGGAGGCAGCAGUAAGGAGUAUUGCUCAAUGGGAGAAAUCCUGAAGCAGCAACGCCGCGUGAGGGACGACGGGCUUUUGCUUGUAAACCUCUGUAGUGAGAGAAAAAAAUCCCAAUCUUUGGGACAUGAUGGUAUCUCAAAAGUAAGCCCCGGCUAACUACGUG
rnacentral:rRNA from 1 species